AAUAUUGGAAAAGGGGGGCAACCCUGAUCCAGCCAUGCCGCGUGUGUGAAGAAGGUCUUAGGAUUGUAAAGCACUUUAAGUUGGGAGAAAGGGCUUUAGGUUAAUACCCUGAAGUUUUGACGAUAACAACAGAAUAAGCACCGGCUAACGCUGUGCCAGCAGCCGCGGUAAUACAGAGGGUGCAAGCGUUAAUAGGAAUUACUGGGCGUAAAGCGCGCGUAGGUGGUUCAGUAAGAUGGGUGUGAAAACCCCGGGCUUAACCUGGGAACUGCUUUCAUAACUGCUGAGCUAGAGUACGGUAGAGGGUAGUGGAAUUUCCUGUGUAGCGGUGAAAUGCGUAGAUAUAGGAAGGAACACCAGUGGCGAAGGCGACUACCUGGACUGAUACUGACACUGAGGUGCGAAAGCGUGGGGAGCAAACA
rnacentral:rRNA from 1 species